GACGAACGCUGGCGGCGUGCCUAAUACAUGCAAGUUGAGCGCUGAAGGUUGGUACUUGUACCUACUGGAUGAGCAGCGAACGGGUGAGUAACGCGUGGGGAAUCUGCCUUUGAGCGGGGGACAACAUUUGGAAACGAAUGCUAAUACCGCAUAAAAACUUUAAACACAAGUUUUAAGUUUGAAAGAUGCAAUUGCAUCACUCAAAGAUGAUCCCGCGUUGUAUUAGCUAGUUGGUGAGGUAAAGGCUCACCAAGGCGAUGAUACAUAGCCGACCUGAGAGGGUGAGCGGCCACAUUGGGACUGAGACACGGCCCAAACGCCUACGGGAGGCAGCAGUAGGGAAUCUUCGGCAAUGGACGAAAGUCUGACCGAGCAACGCCGCGGGAGUGAAGAAGGUUGUCGGAUCGUAAAACUCGGUUGGUAGAGAAGAACGUUGGUGAGAGUGGAAAGCUCAUCAAGUGACGGUAACUACCCAGAAAGGGACGGCUAACUACGUG
rnacentral:rRNA from 1 species